UACAGAGGGGUGCAAACGUUGCUCGGAAUUACUGGGCGUAAAGCGCGUGUAGGCGGCUCGGAAAGUCGGAUGUGAAAGCCCUGGGCUUAACCUAGGAAGUGCAUUCGAAACUCCCGAGCUUGAGUUCUGGAGAGGAAGGCGGAAUUCUCGGUGUAGAGGUGAAAUUCGUAGAUAUCGAGAGGAACACCGGUGGCGAAGGCGGCCUCUGGACAGUGACUGACGCUGAGACGGCGAAAGCGUGGGGAGCCAAACAGGG
rnacentral:rRNA from 1 species